rnacentral:rRNA from 1 species
UACGGAGGGUGCAAGCGUUGUCCGGAUUUAUUGGGUUUAAAGGGUGCGUAGGCGGCUUGUUAAGUCAGGGGUGAAAGACUGCAGCUCAACUGUAGCAGUGCCUUUGAUACUGAUGAGCUUGAGUAUAGAUGAGGCCGGCGGAAUUUAUGGUGUAGCGGUGAAAUGCAUAGAUACCAUAAAGAACACCGAUUGCGAAGGCAGCCGGCUAAACUACAACUGACGCUGAGGCACGAAAGCGUGGGGAUCGAACAGG